ensembl:lncRNA LEF1-AS1 LEF1 antisense RNA 1
GUCGCCUCAACUGCGCGUGGGGGGCGAGGCGCCCACCCCGCACAAGAACAGAGGAGCGGGGGAGAAGAGACGGCCUCGCUGCUCACUGGGCCCCUUUGUGUGACUAAAUUUGGCAAGAAUAUGGAUCUGAGCCAGUCUUUCCACGUGUGCUCCCAGCUCCCAGCUGAGAAGGCCAAGGGUUCUCUUCCGGGAAAACCAGUUUGGCUAUUAAGGGAACCUGUCGACACAGAGCAGAGCAAGAUAAGGCCAGGUUUCAGAAAGAAUAGCUGUUUACCAUCAAAGCAACUGGGUUCCACACAGACAUGGUAUAUUAUACACAAAGACGAAGGAUAUGGGUCCACUCUCCGUCAAGGAAUGUUAUAAAUCCACGUGGUGUCCCUGGGUGUCAGGCUUGGCCAGAACAUCUGUGGCUGGAGAAGCCAAUGUGGCUCAGGAGCUCCCUGCUGGCUGCACAUCUGAACGGCUUCAGGAGUACAAGUUUCCCCAUCAAAGGUUUGGAAUAAAUUACACUAAAAAAUUGGCUCCAGAACGAGUUAUUUUGGACAGGACAAGGUGAAGCUCUCAUGAGGUGUGUUAAAUGCAUCCCUCUGUGCAGUGGGCAACUGCGGGAGAGCUGGAGGGGGUGGUCAAAGGCUGUGGGGAAAGUGGAGAAACUCUAACCCUGCACACACUUGGACAGAAAUGCCAAAUCUACUGACUGGACAAGAUUUGGGAAAUUCAUUUUUUAAACAAAUGGUUUUACAAAGCUUUAUAACUUAAUUUGAAUAUAUAUCUUAUAAAUAGUCAUCCUUUUCCUGAUACUUCAUUUUCAAAGGAUGUCCUUUCCUCCCUCAUGGAGUACUGGAGCCAGCUCACACUAGCUUAUGAGAGCUGAUUGUUAAGUUUUCAGGACUUUUGUGAGCCAGUUGUCAAACACAGCUGCUAUUAAAAAUUAAAUUACAUAAACUUUCAAAGUUAUCUUAAAAACAAGGGUAAGAAAUGUCCCAAACUCAUUAUCAUUUCCUAAUUAUUUUGCUACAUUUUAUUAUGAUCUAUGUUCUUGAGGUUAGUUACAUCUCUUGUACCUAUUUGAUGGAAAUACUGUAUAAUGGUGGGCCACUGUGUAUCUCAUUACAUCUCCAUGUUCAGUGACAUCACAUGGAUAGUUUCAAGUCAACAUGUUGGGAGUAGUUGCCUCACAGAAACUGACUACAAAUCAGGGCGUUGACUUAUCAUUUCAUUGAUGAUCCAGACAAGAAAGUGGAGGAAAUGUUAAUAAUGCAUACUAAAUUUAAACAUGUGUUAUGCUUGCAGUUAUUACAUAUGAAUAGCCUAAACAUUGAGAAAAGAUUCUUCCAGUAUUUAACAACUAUUAAAAUGGUAUCCAAUUCAGCAAAGAAGUUGCCCAUGUCAUCAGUGAACAAGUGUUGUACUGACAUAAGUCUUUGUUGUUUAUUAUUCCUUAAUAUAAGUGAAAAUACUAAACAACAAUUUAUGCAGGAAUUAUACUUGUUAACUGCCAUUAUAGGUUGGCUAAGGACACGAGUUAGAUAAAAAUCAAGGAGAGCAUCCUGUGAGAAAUCAACUUACUACAUAGAAUUUACAAUAUAGAGUUUUGUAUAUUUUAUUAUACUUAUAAAUUAUGUCCUUAUAUCCUUUAUGUUGGUAACAUUGAUAGUAAAUCAAUGCACAUAUUUAUGGAUACAUUUCUUUCCUGGAGAGUUGAUUGUUAGACUUUUACU